CCCACGACUACCACUGCUCCUACUGUCCCCACGACUACCACUGCUCCUACUGUCCCCACGACUACCACUGCUCCUACUGUCCCCAUGACUACCACUCCUACUGUCCCCACGACUACCACUGCUCCUACUGUCCCCACAACUACCACUGCUCCUACUGUCCCCACGACUACCACUGCUCCUACUGUCCCCAUGACUACCACUCCUACUGUCCCCACGACUACCACUGCUCCUACUGUCCCCACAACUACCACUGCUCCUACUGUCCCCCUGACUACCACUGCUCCUACUGUCCCCCUGACUACCACUGCUCCUACUGUCCCCAUGACUACCACUGCUCCUACUGUCCCCAUGACUACCACUGCUCCUACUGCUGUUCCCAGACCACCAUUAAUUCAUCCUGCACUCGUUCAGAUAUCAUCGUUAUCAUGAUCCCCACGGUGUCUGUAGACCCUCCAGUCUGUAGACCCUCCAGUCGGUAGACUCUCACUACGGUACUCUCCCCUCCAGUCUGCUGUCCAGUCAGAAGGCGGAGAUCAGCAGCCACCAGGCAGAGAUCUCCAAGUGGCGGUCCAGGGCCCAGACCCUGAAGGAGAAGACCAAGGCCAUGCGGCCUCACCUGGCGGCCCCCACCACGCCCUCCAAGAGGGGGCUGUUACCCGACACGCCGCCGCCGCCGACUCCGCCGCCGCCGACUCCGCCGCCUCAGACUCCGCCCUCUUCUGCUGCUCCCCCAAGAAGUUCCACAGGGCUCUGGACUCCCCGCGGAGGGGGGGGGACUCCCCGCGGAGGGUCCUGGAGGCUCCGGCCAACGUCCCGGACCCCAACCAGACCUACGGCGUGGACUCCACAGAGUUCCUCAGGUCCACCCUCGCCCGGCCCAAGCAGUUCUUUGAUAACUCCACACUGGGCAUCAAUCCAGGUGGGUUCAGUCCCUCCAUGGACUCCUGGGUCUGGGUAUACUGGUCAUACUGGGUAUACUGGGUCCGGUUAUACUGGGUCUGUUUAUACUGGGUAUGUUUUGUACUGGGUAUACUGCGUCUGUUUUGUACUGGGUAUACUGCUUCUGUUUAUACUGGGUCUGUUUUGUACUGGGUAUACUGCUUCUGUUUAUACUGGGUCUGUUUAUACUGGGUCUGUUUUGUACUGGGUAUACUGCGUCUGUUUGUUCCUCAGAACAUGAUGUGUGACCCCCUUCAUUUUGUUUUCUAAUCAGAUAUUUGUUGUGUUAAAUUAAACACGGACGACGGCCCUGAGACUAUCGACGAGGGUAAUGUGUGGGUGGGAGCUGUUGGUUUGUGUGUGUUGCUGCGGUUGGUGUGUGUGUUGGUAGCUGCCCGGUUCCUAUUGAGCACAGGUGGGGUCGUUAAAGGGACACCUUUCAUUGGACCAGGAGGCGUCAUGUGAGCCAGUGUACAACACGAGCUGCCCUGGCACCUGGCCUUUAAUUGUACUUUGUCUUCAGACUUUAAAAGGGAAGCGUCACGCGACCACUCAUAGGGUGCAGAACUCUAAAGGGCUGAUGAUCGCCCCACGUUCACGCAACGCAAGGGCCUGACAUGCGCCCUGAACGUGGAACCAUAAUCAGCCCUUUAAACUUUCAUCUUCUUUUCAGACUUAAUCUUCAUCUUGAUUUCACGACUUUAAUUUCCGUAUAUUUUUCAGACUUUAACCCUCAUCUUUGUGUGAGACUUGAACUUGUAUCUUUGUUUCCAGGCUGUAAUCUUUGCUUUUUGUUUUCCAGGUUCUUCUUCUGCCGUGGAGCAGAAAGAGGAGAUGUGGCCUAUGUCUCCGAAAAAGGAGGAGAUGUGCACCUCUCAAUGAGAACCUCACCAUCCAACACCUGCUCAGCCAUGUGGAAAUCAGAAGGGGACAUUGAAAGACUGUUUUAAAUUGUGAAAUGCACUUUAUGAUAUUCUGAACAAGAGUGGGGCCACUCGCAGUAGGAGACCGUCCGAUAGCGGUCCAGAUCAUUGGCCGGAUCACCUCAGGAGAAGGAAUGUGGGAUGGAUCUCUUUUGCUUUUGUAAUGGGUGGUCAUGUCACCCUCUGUUUUCUCUGUUUUGUGGAUACUUUAGUUUUAAAUUGGGCUUGUUCAUCUUGUUACCUGCAUUGUAAAAAGCUUGGAACACAUCAUUUCAUUACCAGCAAGGAUUAAAAUAAUACUGCCUUUUAAUUCACUGCAUUUGACAGAUUUAGAAGUUGAACUUAACUCUACCGACUGGUUUGGUGGGACGGCCUCGAUCCUAUAUAAAGUUACUCACAAUAUGUAUGGUUUUGGGCUCAAACCCCGGUUAAAAAAAUUAAUGAUCUUGAUUCCGGUGGAUUACGAAUGUAUGAUCAGAACAAAUAAACAAGUAAAAAGUUUCACGCUUCUUUAUUUAUUCUUUACUCCGACGAUCCAACUUUUAUUUGGAAGGCUGCUGGUGGUUUGCACCUGGAUUGGUCCAACGUAACCUAUUGGUGUGUUUCUGAAACCUUGGACGCCAGCCUUUUGUGAAUGUUUCAUGAAAUUGGGUAGUGGUU
ensembl:lncRNA